GAUAUCCACGUGUCCUACUUAUAUCAGUACACUCUUAACAUACACUCUGAACAACUUAUGCUUAUAUUCGAGAAAAAGAAGCCAUUCGUUUUUUUGUUGACCAAAUUCGAGUCAUUAUUGACCUCCAUACAAAAACUCCUUGCUCGGUGAAAAAAACACCACCUAAAGGAGGGAGACAGGUUUUCUGCCGAGUUGGACAUCUCUCUUCCUCUCUGCUUACACACACAGGUGUUCUGAACACACUAGACACCAGGUGGCGAAUGAUGUCUUCCGUAAACAAGCGCUCUAACGUGGAGAUAUGGCUGUGUGGGAACACUAACCCAAUAUAAGGAAAAACUUGAAAACCGGAAGUCUUAAUGGUGCCACUUGGACGCGAAUGCUGCUGUCAUGACGCUAAUAACAACAGACCUUUGCGAAGCUGAAGAACGUGUAACGUGAUGAGGGGUAAGUGUAGUUUUAAUUUAGAGUUUGCGUGAAGUGAGCACAUGUCGUUUGCUAAAGUUGGAAACUACAGCUCCCAGUAUAUUAUGGUCUCUGGAUCACGUGAUUGAUCAGCUGAUAAAUACAUGGGUAGAUGUAAACCAACAUACUAAACUCAUGAUUUUAGUCUACUGCAAUGAAUAUAUGUAAAUGGGUUGGCUAUAUUCAAUACGCCCAACUUCAUGUAAGGUUUGUAUAAUAAUACACACAAGGCUUAGAAUGAAGAGAUAUGAAGCAAGGAGGAUGAUCCUUCCGAUCUAGUACAUCUACAUCUACUUCAACUGUCGCGUCAAUACCGUUGCAAAGGAGGGUAGCUACGGUAACCAACAUCCUGAAUCCACGACAGAGGUCUGUCCUCACCAACCAAUUAUCAAGGUAGACUGGUAGGCCUUGGCAACAAUGUCGGCUCAACAGCAGGAACAAAGCAGAGCCCUGUGUGCAAACCCUGGGAAUCCUGUUUUCUCAUGUAUGAUGACCCCAGUGGUUAAAAACAAUUCACAUGUGACAUGGGCAAAGCCUCAAAGCCCCUUCUACAAGACCACCUCAAGUGACUAUGGCGUUAGUCCUCCAACAUUUGAAUCAUCACCCUGUACUUACCACCCACUUUCACAAAGAUUCACAGAAGACCUUGGGAACUGUGGGAUGUUACGUGACAACUCCUUCAAUACAAGUCUUGAUCGAAGCAGGGUAUAUGACUGCCCUAAUUUGCAAAACACUAUCUGAUUUGAUUGACAUGGUAUAACAUUGUCUUAGUGUUGAUUAAACUACCUGGUGGACCUUCACUCCAUUGACAAUGA